UGGGGAAUAUUGCACAAUGGGGGAAACCCUGAUGCAGCAACGCCGCGUGAAGGAAGACGGUUUUCGGAUUGUAAACUUCUGUUCUUAGUGAAGAAAAAUGACGGUAGCUAAGGAGCAAGCCACGGCUAACUACGUGCCAGCAGCCGCGGUAAUACGUAGGUGGCAAGCGUUGUCCGGAAUUACUGGGUGUAAAGGGAGCGCAGGCGGGAGAUCAAGUCAGCUGUGAAAACUACGGGCUUAACUUGUAGACUGCAGUUGAAACUGGUUUUCUUGAGUGAAGUAGAGGUUGGCGGAAUUCCGAGUGUAGCGGUGAAAUGCGUAGAUAUUCGGAGGAACACCGGUGGCGAAGGCGGCCAACUGGGCUUUAACUGACGCUGAGGCUCGAAAGUGUGGGGAGCAAACAGG
rnacentral:rRNA from 1 species